rnacentral:lncRNA from 1 species
UGGAGCAAAGAGCGCGGCUUCAUCUCAAAGAUACUGGAUUUUGGAAGAUUUUUUAAAGAGGGAACCAAGAAUUCUGAAAUGGUCUCCCUGCAGCAACAUGCAAACCAGUUAACAGUCAAUUUUGUGAUGACUUCCUAAAAGGCAAUGAUAUAUGUUACACUGUACCUAGCACUGCAACCAACAGCAGCAACAGAGGCAUGUAAAGUUCCUUGGCCAAAGCAAAGCUGCAAGCUUGUGGCUAAACCAGGAAGAGUGCUGGUCCCAAGUCUCCUUUCUCUAACUGUAAGACUCUGCAAUAAUCUGCUUAAGCUGAUAUGUUUGAGGAACUAG